rnacentral:lncRNA from 1 species
ACUGCCCUAUCACGUGACUGAUUGCUGAGGAUAGCUGCCCUACCAUGUGAUAGUUGCCCUACCACGUGCCUGACGGGCUUUUCCAUUCUCCUGAGACCCCAAGUCAUCGACUUUCAAACCCAAAUUCUCUUAAGGAAAUAGCGUCUUGAAAGUAGGGACGUGCUUCUGUUGGUAAAGUGCUCGCCACGCAUGCCUAAGGACCUGGAUUUAAUCUCAACAGCCAUGCGAAGCUAGGCGUAUGCUUGCGAUCCCAGCCCCGAGAGGGUGUGGGAGGAAGAUUCCUGAACUUGGCUGAACUGGCAAGCUCUUGUUCGGUGAGAGACCCUGUCUCACAAAGUAGGACGGGAGCUGGAGAGAUGACUCAGUGGUUUAGAGAACUCUGCCCCUACAGAGGAACUGGGUUUGAUUCCCAGCACCCUUGGUGUGGCUCACAACGACCUGUAACUCCAGUUCCUGGGGACCUGACAGCUGUCUCUAACCUCUGUGGAUACCAGGCAUAUGGUACUGCACAUACACACAGGCAAAACAUUCAUACCCAUGAAAUAAAAUGAAUAAAUCUAAAAAUUAAAAUAAGGUGGAGAGUGAUUGAUGGAUAUAUCCAAUAUCAGCCUCUGACAUCCUAUGCAUGCACCUUCAUGCCUACCGACAUAUGUACUACACAUGAACGCACACAGGAACACAUAUACACACAUGUACAUGAAUGUCUUUAUACAUCUACCCACAUCUGUGUACAUGAACACAUAUACACACAUGCACAUGAGCAUCUCUACAUGUCAACCCACAUAUGUACACAUGAACACACACAUGAACAUAAUGUCCACAAGAAAUAAUAAACAUCUCACAAUCAAUUUCUAGAUUUAUUAACUGGAAUAAUAUUUUGGAAUAAUAUCCUUCAGUGAGAAGAGAUGGUACCUGUGCCCACUGAGCCUACAUAUAUUAUUUAAUAAGCACAUUCAGGGCACUGCUGAGAUCCUGGGCAAUCUAUCUGUAUAUUGACCCCUCCGUUCCCUAUACCAACUUGAUGAUGUAGCUGCUGUCUGUAUUAUCAUAUGCAAAUGAGAAAACAGCCUGAAGAGACUGGCGGAACAAGCCCCAAGUCUUCCAAUCAAGAGGCCAAGCUGGGAUUUGAACCUAGGAAGCUUGGCUUCAUUGUCCAUACCUUAGGCCACAAGGAUACAGAGCCUCUCGUCUGGGUUCCUUCAGAGCUCUUCAUCCGAAGCACAUAGCAUAUGUGGGCUUUUCUUGCUUCCGAAUCGCAGCUCUAGAUGGUCUGUGCCAGCUGAGCCCUGGUGAUUCUUUUAAAAGCCGUUUCCCAUGUUUUCCUCUGUUAGAAGCCUGCCCAUAGAUUAAUGACCCCACUGCCAGGCUCUGUGCCAACACUCCUAGGCGCAAGAAGUGGCAACAGAAGGCUCUGGACAGUGUGGCUCCAGCAUGGCCCAGAGUCUGCCCGAGCCCACAGAGCUGCUGUCGGGAGGAUUUACAGCAGUGCUGACUGGUACCUCAUGCUUGCCAGGACCUAUCGGAAGAUCAGGGCCUGACUGAGCCAGCCCUGCUUCCCCUCCAGUUCCGAGGCCUGCAGAACCUCACCUGCCAGUGACCAGGGGUUGCACAGCCCACGAGACACAUGCCCGGGGCUGGCUUGGGGGAACGGUUGGUUUCCGUCUGCUUCACGUCAGGUGGAGAAGUGAGACUCGGAAGAUCAUCCUGCCCGAUAGCCCUUUUACCAAGCUUCCUCCAUGCUUUCGUCUCGCUCGUGGUUUCCAGGAAUAAAAAAGAGUGGGGACAGCAGGCAGGGGCACACAUUCUGCAGCCACACAGGCCAAUUAGCCUUCCACCCACUUAUUAGUUGUGCAGCUCUGGGCAGGAUCCCCAUCUGCUCUGUCCGCUUCCUCAUCUAUAAAACAGAGAUUUAAAAAAAAUGAAAGGAGUAUCCGACUUGAGGAACUACUGUGAGAAUCAAAGCCACAAACAGCUGUAGGCAAGUUUCCACAGUGCUGGUCACAGUGCAGGCAAGGGGCUGAGGACUUAGUGUCCAAAAUCAGGGACUCAGGCCAGACUUACUGACUGCGAAGCCCAGCUGUGCUACUUACUCCUGUGUGACCUGGGGUAGGUUUCCUAACAUCUCUGUGUCUCCGUCUCCUACAGGAAGUGAAUAAACUCAAAGUCUUUAUAAUAUAGGCUCACCGUGAGAUUUAAAUAAAUCAGCAUUUGUC